rnacentral:rRNA from 1 species
UACGGAGGAUCCAAGCGUUAUCCGGAAUCAUUGGGUUUAAAGGGUCCGUAGGCGGGCCUGUAAGUCAGUGGUGAAAGCCCAUCGCUCAACGAUGGAACGGCCAUUGAUACUGCAGGCCUUGAAUUGCCGGGAAGUAACUAGAAUUUGUAGUGUAGCGGUGAAAUGCUUAGAUAUUACAUGGAAUACCGAUUGCGAAGGCAGGUUACUACCGGCGGAUUGACGCUGAUGGACGAAAGCGUGGGUAGCGAACAGG